UUGCGAUUAUUCAUGACCAAGUAUUGUUGAGAUUGAAUGCCGUCUCAAUUAUGGUAGAUAAAUAUUCAUUGGUAACUAUAUAAUUUGCUGCUGCUGCAAAUGAUCGCUUAAUGUAACAGUUAGCGCUCGUAAAUGACAAAAAGAAAGAGCUGGUAUAUUCUAUUAACAAUUAUGGGUUAAAUCAGUCAAAUACAUGUAGCCAGGUUUAUGAGAGUAAACGGGCUCAGGUAGUUUACUCAUCAUUACUACGUUUUGUGGAGUAACACCACAGCCCCAGAAAAUAGGGAUUUCACCUUCUUUGAAUUCGACAGGCACGCCAAAGUCAGGUUUUCCACAGUCUUUGACUCCAAUUUUCUUAGCACCAUCCCAACCCCAUGCAACAGGUUCUCCAUGGCAGUUCGUAUAAGCAGAAGUAAUUUUUCUGAUUCUUUCAAGGUCCUUUUCAGGGUAUGGACGCAUGGAGACUACAAAAGUACCAGUAAAAACGCCAGAUGCGCAAAGAGGGAUAUUUGUAAUAAACAUUGGAGGUGCAUCACCAGUUGGUAAAUGCCUUGGGAUAAAAUUCUCAGCUACUAGUGCAGCUUCAAAAGAGAAAGAGCAUCCAAUCAAGAAGCCGACGUAGUCUUCAGUCCACUCUUUGGAAAUAUUUUCUAAUUCCCUUGAAAAUUUGCCAUUGAUGUAUUCACAAUAGAAAGGAAUAUCUGUUGCGACGUUGCUUUGUUUAGCCAAAGCUUCUGGUUUGAAUUCAGUAGGCUUGCCAAUUUCCGUUUCUCCCAACAAAGGACAAGGAACAGGAUUGCGAACGCACAAAUUUACGAAAUCAUCUCUAUAUUUGGCAGGCAAGACCAAAAGGUUUGCUUGAAUAUAUCCCUCGCACCAUCCAGUCGUGGACUUGGUCAUUAAUCUGUUUCGAAUUAAUUUACGAGCUUCUACGGGCUUCGUAAUUGCUCGCUCUGAAUAGGAAGGGAGACGACACUCGUCCUUCUUAGGCAUACCAUCAUAUGCUUUCGGUUCGCGAAUUACAUCGACGGUGGCAUACACUGGUGGAUCGAUACUAGUAGUAGUCAUUAUUAUUGUAAUUUCAAAUCAAUUGAUCCACAGUUCUAUUAUUAGUGGUAGAUUUUCUUAUAGUAAUGUAUUUCCCAAAAGAAGGUUUCUAAUUAAUUUUUUA